rnacentral:rRNA from 1 species
GACAGAGGGUGCAAACGUUGUUCGGAAUUACUGGGCGUAAAGCGCGUGUAGGCUGCUUAGCAAGUCGGAUGUGAAAGCCCUGGGCUCAACCUAGGAAGUGCAUUCGAAACUGCAAAGCUUGAGUCCUGGAGAGGAUAGCGGAAUUCUCGGUGUAGAGGUGAAAUUCGUAGAUAUCGAGAGGAACACCGGUGGCGAAGGCGGCUAUCUGGACAGCGACUGACGCUGAGACGCGAAAGCGUGGGGAGCAAACAGG